rnacentral:lncRNA from 1 species
GAAAAAAACUAAAUGGUCCAGAAAUACUGAUUUCCAUCUUUUCCUCCUCUCUGCCCAGAAUCAACAAAAGCAGUAAUAAUAUGGAAGAAAAUGCCACCCUUCAAAGAUGUACCAAGAAGAGGAAGACAGUAGAAGGGGCUGCAGCAGUAAUUAAACCAAGUUAGAGACAUGAAGAAAGAAUAUGAGGCCAGACAUUGUGUGGUGACCAGUGGCAGAUUGCCUAGUUCUGGAGUGGCUUCUGUUGCAAUAGGAUACUGUAUGAAGUUUCACUUGCCGGGGGGUGAGAAAAUACUGACAAGGCAGAGAUUUACAAGCCGGUCGAUCCCCUUCGAUAUCGAAACCGAAGUCAGAUCACGGACUCUCAUUUAAUGUGGAGGUAAAAGCUGAUUUCCCCUCCAAUGAAGGGGAGAAGCAGCGUGAAGCAGAGAAGCAGCACGGCUCAGUGGAAAGAUCCCGGGCUUGGGAGUCAGAGGUCAUGGGUUCAAAUUCCGACUCCGCCGCUUGCCAGCUAUGUGACUUUGGGCAAGUCACUUAACGUCUCUGGGCCUCAGUUACCUCAUCUGUCAAAUGGGGAUUAAAGCUGUGAGCCCCACUUGGGACAACCUGAUCACCUUGUAUCCCUCCAGUGCUUAGAACAGUGCUUGGCACAUAGUAAGCACUUAACAAAUACCACCAUUAGGGGCAGAGGGGAAGGGAGGGCUCAGUCUGGGAAGGCCUCCUGGAGGAGGUGAGCGCUCAGGAGGGCUUUGAAGAGGGAAAGAGAGUGAGUUGGGCGGAGGUGAGGAGGGAGGGCAUUGCAGGAGAGCAGUAGGAUGUGGGGCAGGCGAAAAUGAGGCCCAGUGAGGUGGUGAGCGGUGGCAGAGGAGCGGAGUGUGUGGGCUGGGCUGGGUAUUCAUUCAUUUAUUCAAUGGUAUUUAAUAACGUUGGCAUUUGUUAAGCGCUUACUAUGUGCAGAGCACUGUUCUAAGCGCUGGAGUAGACACAGGGUAAUCAGGUUGUCCCACGUGAGGCUCAGUCUUCAUCCCCAUUUUACAGAUGAGGGAACUGAGGCCCAGAGAAGUGAAGUAACUCGCCCACAGUCACCCAGCUGACAAGUGGCAGAGCCUGGAUUCGAACCCAUGACCCAUUUGUUAAGAGCUUACUAUGUGCAGAGCACUGUUCUAAGCGCUGGGGUAGUAGAUACAGGGGAAUCAGGUUGUCCCCCGUGAGGCUCACAGUGUUAAUCCCCCUUUUACAGAUGAGGUCACUGAGGCCCAGAGAAGUGAAGUGACUCGCCCACCGUCACCCAGCUGACAAGUGGCAGAGCCGGGAUUCGAACCCAUGACCUAUUUGUUAAGCACUUACUAUGUGCAGAGCACUCUUCUAAGCGCUGGGGGAGAUACAGGGGAAUCAGGUUGUCCCACGUGAGGCUCAUUUUACAGAUUUUACAUUUUACAGAUGAGGUCACUGAGGCCCAGAGAAGUGAAGGGGCCAACUGACAAGUGGCAGAGUCGGAAUUCGAACGCGUGACCUCGGCCUCCCCAGCCCGGGGCUCCUUCCCCCCGAGCCACGCUGUUUCCUUUAUUUAUCGAGCCCUGACUCCGUGCAGAGUCCUCUACUACUAAAUGCAAUUCAAGAAGAAAUGAGAGACCUGCCCACAAUCUAGAGGGGGUUAGAGAGAGAGUGACCCCCCCCCCCCCCAAAAAUCAAUGCCGCCUCCUUGACCCCGGGGUUUGUCUGGCUCAGGGGGGGACCCCGGGAUCCGACAGCCCCCCGCUUUUGCCCCGAGAGCCCCGAGCUGGGGAGCCAGUCCUGCCCGGGCCCUGGGGGGGGAGGGGGGGCAGGGAGGGGGAGAAGGGCAGGAGGAAGGGCAGAAGCCGCUUCAAUCCGGCCAGUGCGCAGACUCGGAAGCCGGCGCAGGCGCCUUAGGGAGGCCGGCGGGGCGGGGAAGGGAGGGCGGGGCGACGCCAU